AUGGCACUGAUCCAAAUCUUCCGGAUGUGUAUGGUAAUACCGCUCUCCACUACGCUGUGUAAAAUGAGGAUAAAUCAGUGGCCCCAAAACUGCUUUCAUACAACGCAGAUAUUGAAUCAAAAAACAAGUGGAUGGGAGUUCUGAAGACUCUGUAAUCAGGCUUUCCGGCAAACAGGCGAUCAAUGAUUUACAGCCUACAUCAGCUAAGGAAGACCGUGAUUGUGAUAUCAAGGUAAAGUGCUCACAUGUGAAAUUAAUUUCCUCAUUAUGAAUCUAGUUUUCUAUAUAAUUUACUCUUAAAAUUUAGCAGUGGUCAACCUGUCAUUGUUUUAUGUUUGUAAUGGAAAGUUGGUUACAAAAAAGCAUUUUAAAGAAAUAUGAAUAAUUGAAUUUGUAAAAAUUGUACUUUGGUAAAUAAUAGAUUGUUAAAUACUAAGAGGGUGUGUGGGUGAGAAAAGGAAUGUGCUGGAAAAUGAUUAUAUUGUGACAGAAAAAUUAUAUUUGGCUAAGCUUUCUCACAAUACAGGAAAUUUGAAAUGUGGUCAGGGUUUAUUUGGAUGAGUAUGCUUUCUGUGACUUUUAAAUUCAUACUAACAUGACUUUUAUAAUACUUAUGCCUAAAUAAAUUAUUAUCAUAGUAAUCAUGGACUCUCCCUGGUGCAUUUUAGUUCCAAAACUGUACAGCAGAUAGCAUAUAGUUUCUUUGUUAAUAUUUUGGUAUCAUAUACUUCUUAGGAUAGCACUCUUUCCCUAUUUCUAUCCUUGGUUCUGUAAUUAGACUAAUACUAGAAAUUGUGAAAAUUUAGUUGAGUAUUGUGGUACGUGCCUGCAAUCUCAGCUACUUGGGAGUUUUAGGUGGGAGGAUUUUUUGAGCCAAGGAAUUUGAGACCAAAUUGGCCAACAUAGCAACACUGCUUCUCUCAUAUAAAAAAAAAUUGUGGAAAUUUAGAAAUGUAAAUUUUCUUUCUCCAAAUGUACAUUAUAAAGGGAUUCCGUUGUGUUUUCUAAGUCACUUAAUUAAGAACAUACUUAAAACUCCUCAAAUUGAAGAAUUUGGACUAAUGGGCUAGGACAUGCUUUGCCCAAAAUAACAACCAGUUCUAGAAGCAGAGACUCUUAAUAACCAUAGGGUAAGGCUUUGAUUUCAGAAUUUUUUUGCAUCAUACUUGUUACAGAUUUACACUCAAAAUCUUUGUAUCACAUUUAAAAACUCCAAAUGUAAGAAGUCUCUGUAUUUAGUUAUUUAAAUAAUCACUUUAAAGCCCCUGCAUUAGUAUAAGCUACUGGAGGUUAGGAAACACACCUGUUUAUAUCCUGGAGUAGCUAGAAUAAAGUCUUGCCUGUAAGAAGCAUUUUAAUAUUUUGUAAUGUGAAUACUUGAACAGACAAAAGGAUUUCUAUAUAAUGGAAUGUUACAAUUAACAUGAGAUACAUACCUAAUAAUGAAAUCUAUGGCAUUUCUAAAGUAUGGCUUAAAUGUAUAGUCCCUUUCAAUGUUUAGGAUGUAUAAAUUCAGAUGAGUUAUAUUGGGAAAAUAUGUCAUAAAUAAGAAAGAAAUAUGCCAUCAAAUAGGAAAGAGGGUUACAGUAUACUUUGCAGUAUUGUCCAACUAUAAGCUUAGGUUAGGAUUUUAGAUUUAAAAUUUUUAAACUUUUUAAACCCCAACCCAUGUUCUACUAAAUAUAUCUUUUCAAGCCAUAGAUUACUCUUUAGAAUUAUGAUUACUAAUUAUUUCUCCAAGUGGAAAGUUUAUGGAACAUUUCUUUUUCCAUUUCUCUCUCCCUCUCUAUAGUAAUAAUGGUCCAUCUUUCAGGUAGUUGUAGAUGACCAUGUUUAAAUACUUGAAUGUAUUGUUUUAUGGUAUAAAAUUAAGCUCUUAGAGAAAUAUUU
ensembl:lincRNA